CCUACGGGUGGCAGCAGUGGGGAAUUUUGGACAAUGGGGGCAACCCUGAUCCAGCCAUUCCGCGUGAGUGAAGAAGGCCUUCGGGUUGUAAAGCUCUUUCGGCAGGAACGAAACGGUGCGGGUUAAUACCCUGCAUCAAUGACGGUACCUGAAGAAGAAGCACCGGCUAACUACGUGCCAGCAGCCGCGGUAAUACGUAGGGUGCGAGCGUUAAUCGGAAUUACUGGGCGUAAAGCGUGCGCAGGCGGGUGAAGUCCCCGGGCUUAACCUGGGAACUGCGUUUGUGACUGCAAGACUAGAGUGCGGCAGAGGGGGGUGGAAUUCCACGUGUAGCAGUGAAAUGCGUAGAGAUGUGGAGGAACACCGAUGGCGAAGGCAGCCCCCUGGGUCGACACUGACGCUCAUGCACGAAAGCGUGGGUAGCAAACAGGAUUAGAUACCCUAGUAGUC
rnacentral:rRNA from 1 species